UGUAAUUUCUAGAUUGCUCUAAGGCUGGUCGAAGAGAAAAAGAUGCCACCACUAGAAAACUUAACCAAAGCUGAUUAUGAAGAAAUGUUGGAGAUGUCAAACAAUCGACGACAAAAGUAUUAUGUUUAUUUGCAUUCAUCAACAAUGGGCACUUCGAAUGACGAGAAGCGUAUAAUAGCAGCGAGUAUCUGUGAUACAAAAAAAAACAACUGGGCACACUUGGUCAGCCGAAAACCGAUCAUAUUCGAUGUGGCCCAGGACAUAAUACACAAUUUUUGCAAAUAAGAAGAGAAACAAUGACUAAAUGGAGAAAUUUGAAAUUGUGGCGUGCGAUGAGACUAAAUGAACCAGCUCUAAUAUUGGACUGUGGUUUCAAUGACAGAAUUACGGACCAGGAAAUUCGAGAUAUAGCGCGUCAAAUUAAAUAUUCCUUCAGUGAAAAUUGAUUAGAUCGUAAACCAUUUGUACUGAAUUUGUGUAACAUGAACACAAAUUCA